GAGACUUCCCCUCUCUGUUCCUAGGUGCAGUGUAGCCUUUUCAACUGUGUCAAAGGGUGCAAACAAAACUUGGAAGGACUUUACAUUACAUCACGGGAUAAAGAGGUAAUAACAUGGACUUCUACGUUAUAGCAUAGGAUUAAGAGGUAAUAGCAUGGACUUUACAUUACAGCGGGAUUAAGAGGUAAUAACAUGGACUUUUACGUUAUAGCAUAGGAUUAAGAGGUAAUAACAUGGACUUUAUAUUACAGCACAGGAUAAAUAGGUAAUAACAUGGACAUUACAUUACAGCAGAAUAAAGAGGUAAUAACAUGGACUUUACAUUACAGCGGGAUAAAGAGGUAAUAACAUGGACUUUACAUUACAGCAGGAUUAAGAGGUAAUAACAUGGACUUUACAUUACAGCGGGAUUAAGAGGUAAUAACAUGGACUUUACAUUACAGUGGGACUAAGAG
rnacentral:lncRNA from 1 species